rnacentral:rRNA from 1 species
AAUGAACGCUGGCGGCGUGCCUAAUACAUGCAAGUCGAGCGAACGGUCGAGAAGCUGGCUUUUCUGAUGUUAUCGGCGGACGGGUGAUGAACACGUGGAUAACCUACCUAUAAGACUGGGAUAACUUCGGGAAACCGUAGCUAAGGCCGAAUAAUAUUUUGCACCGCAUUGUUCAAAAGUUAAAUACGCUCUUGCUUUGACUUAUAGAUGGAUCCGCGCUGCAUUAGCUAGUUGUUAAGGUAACGGCUUAACAAGGCAACGAUGCAUAGCCGACCUGAGAGGGUGAUCCGACACACUGGAACUGAGAAUCGGCCGCGACUCCUGCGGGAGGCAGCAGUAGGGAAUCUUACGGGAAGGGGGAAAGCCUGACGGAGCAACGCCGCGUGAGUGAUGAAGGUGUUCGGCUCGUAAAACGAUGUUAUUAGGGAAGAACAUAUGUGUAAGUAACUGUGAACAUAUUGACGGUACCUAAUCAGAAAGCCACGGCUAACUACGUG